UUGAACGCUGGCGGCAUGCUUUACACAUGCAAGUCGAGCGGCAGCGCGGGGGCAACCCUGGCGGCGAGCGGCGAACGGGUGAGGAAUACAUUGGAACGUGCCCGAGAGUGGGGGAUAACGCCGCGAAAGCGGCGCUAAUACCGCAUAUUCUCCGAGGAGGAAAGUGGGGGACCGCAAGGCCUCACGCUCACGGAGCGGCCGAUGUCGGAUUAGCUAGUUGGUGGGGUAAAGGCUUACCAAGGCGACGAUCCGUAGCUGGUCUGAGAGGAUGAUCAGCCACACUGGGACUGAGACACGGCCCAGACUCCUACGGGAGGCAGCAGUGGGGAAUUUUGGACAAUGGGGGCAACCCUGAUCCAGCCAUGCCGCGUGCGGGAAGAAGGCCUUCGGGUUGUAAACCGCUUUUAGUCGGGAAGAAAAGGCGCCACCUAAUACGGGGCGUUCUUGACGGUACCGGCGGAAUAAGCACCGGCUAACUACGU
rnacentral:rRNA from 1 species